GGUCAGUGCCGCGCGGAACCUGCGCGCAGCCCCUGUAGCCCCGCCCACUCUCCGCACGCGACCCGCCGGGUGAGCGCCGGGGAGGCCGCAGCCGAGGAGCCGCGCGGCGCGUCUCCCCCUGUCUCCGCCGUUCCAGGGUCGCUGGGAGACUAAGCAAAGCGUGUGUACGAAGUGAUCCCAGCGCCUCGCGCGACGAACUGUUCAUCGACUGGGACCAUUUACUGCACGCGGUGGCAGCCUCACCGCGGGAACGCCUCCGGCACGGAGCCCACCGCUCCCACGUCUGACCUUGCAGAGUCCGGACAAGACUGUGACUGGAUGGGAGGAAUCGACAUGGCCCAGAGAUCCAUACAUUGAUUGUUGGGUUUUACACUUCCUUAGUUUGGGAGAGAGUGCGUCCAUCUUCUUAAAAUCAGUUACAUCUUGGGCAGAAACCGCUGCAGUGCCAGAGAGAUUAAGAGACAGAAAAAGGAAGAAGGAAGAAGGAAGAAAGAAGAAAGGGAGUGGCAGGCCACAGGCAACGUUUAAUUUUUCAAAAAAGAUGGGCUUCUGUUCUCAUAAAAGCAAACUAUAAUUUAGAAAAUCCAGAGUGAGCUCCUAAAAGCUAGCCCCUCUAGCCACCUAGCAAUGUUGUGAUGGAGCAUGGGCGACCGGGAAGGCUUUUCUGUUGUUUUCGUUUUUUCAAGAGACCUUUUAGAAGGAAAUAAAAAUUUUACAUCCUCAUCUAUGAAUUUAUGAAAUAAAAAUAUAAAUUAUAUAUAAACAUAUUGAGCCCAGUGUAUUGAUUUAAAGGGGCUUUUCAGACAUCAGUUUUUCCCUGUAUCUUAGUUUAUCCCAGAGGAUUUUUACACUCCAGGGCACAGGACACAGGAGCUAAAAGACCCACAAUGCUAGAGAGGGGUCAAAAAGAACCUUUCUCGGGGCGCCCGAGUGACUCAGUUGGUUAAACGUCCAACUUCAGCUCAGGUCAUGAUCUCACGGUUCAUGGGUUCGAGCCCCACAUCAGGCUCUGUGCUGAUAGCUUGGAACCUGGAGCCUGCUUCGGAUUCUAUGUCUCCCUCUCUCUCUGCCCCUCCCCUGCUUGCACAGUCUCUCUCUCUCUAAAAUACAUUAAAAAAUUAAAAAGACCUUUCUCUACUGGAUGACUCUUUAUCCUGAUAGCAGGACACAAAUACCAGCGCCCCAUCCAAACUGGCUUCCAGCUUCACAUUCCCAGGCAUUUGGGGGGAAAACUGUUACCCAAAUACUCUGUAACAGCUUUCUAAUCUGCUCUGACAUUUCGUGCUUCUCUAGAAAGGACAAAUUCCAACUCUGGGAAGAAUAAGCUGAGGGUGAGGCAGGCUCCUGAGGGUGGAUAACACAGGAGCAAGGUGGUUGGUUCCUCAAAGGAAUGCCUCUCCAUUCUUGCAGGAAGUGGCCACAGUGAUUCCGGGUCCUCAAGGGAAAACUGCGAGCUGAGCCACCGAGUAGGAGCCCUACCUGACUCUCUGCUCUGGAGGGGGAUCUGAGAGUGCACUCACAAAUCAGCCUACAGGCUUCCGUACAGUCUUCAGAGGAACAUUCUCUGGCUAUCAGCUGUCCACCACAGGCCAGCUCUGGCUUCCACCCCUCUCCCUCCCUGUAUAUUAAAUAAAACUACAAACCUUUCCUAGGUUCAGUGGGGCAAGUUUCCAUCUCUAAUCUCCCACUGAGGGCCAACUUCAUUCCCCAACAACACAGAUCAUUGCUCUGUGCAUGCCAGCCCAGACAUAUAAGUAACCUAAAUCCUCCCCAGCAACUAACUGGGACUUCCAUUGAAGUCAUGGUUAAAAGGGCAAUACUGAUUUGUAAUGCAGAUCAAAUGAAAUGGUUCUAGAAUAUUAGCAACUAUAUGUCAUAGCAUAAAAUAUCGGAUCAACUGAGAAGUAUUUGUGGUUCAAGAACAAUUACUUAAAUAGCAGUUUUUAGUUCCUCCUAGAUCAUGGUCUCCUUGGAGGGGGAAAAGAAAAGGUGAAGAGGACGAGGAGCCAAAGUGUUAGGAACCUUUAAAAGAGCAGUUCAGAGCUAGCGUAGCAGCUGAGAGCACCCCUUCAGGGGUAACGCGAUAGGGAUGAAAUAGAGAGUCUUUUUCAAGUCUUUAAGACAAUGACAUGAGUUGGUUUUUUUGUUUAGACUCUAAUACGCCAAGUAUUAGACUUCCAAGGCUGCGCUUUACGCAGGAAAACACCUAAACCAUGAAGUGCUUCUUCAUCUGCCAGCUAAAAAAGAUACAGGGGCAACAAAAACAAGAAAGAAGAGACCGCAAAACGGCAACGAUGCAAAUACAGGAUUUCAAGGCAAUUCAGAGAUCUCUCUCCCAAGGGAUUCAGUGUUAGUGAAGGGGCAGGGACAGUUUUCCCCCAUUCUGAUUAUUCCAAUUUCAUUUUAAAGCCUUUUCUCCCCCGAUGGAACAUGGAUGCUAUUGAUUCUUAAAGAUACCAUCGUUUUCUGUACUCUACGAAGUAAACGUUGCUAAUUAAACUACAUCCAAAAUCUUUCUUGUCACAUUCACUGUGAGCACCCUGAUUUUAGGGAUAUUGAAAACAAAACCAAAAAAUAUCCUAGAAGUAAUUAAAUAUGGUAAUGUUAUUAAAAUGAUUAAAACAACUGCAUGAUAGCA